rnacentral:rRNA from 1 species
GAGCAUACGGUGGAUGCCUAGACUGAAAAGAGCGAUGAAGGACGCGGUUUGGCUGCGAUAAUCUUCGGUAAGGUGCCAAGCAACCUGUGACCCGAAGGUUUCCGAAUGGGGAAACCCACGAACGGUUAUUCGUUCGUACUUUGAUUUAAAUCAAAGAGCGCACCCGGGGAAGUGAAACAUCUCAGUACCCGGAGGAAAAGAAACUAAUAAGGGCCUGAAACAAAUUAUUUUGUUUUUAGACCCGCAGUAUUCCCUAAGUAGCGGCGAGCGAAACGGGAGAAGCCCAAACCCAGCACUUUCUUUUACGAAAAAAUUUUCUUACAUCAUAGUAAAGUAAAUUACUGUUUUGUAGGUAUUGAAAAUUAUGAUAAUUGUUUUGUAAAAGAAGGUGCUGGGGGUUGUAAGAUACAAAUUUCUGUAAGAGCCUGUUUAAGAACUUGCUUUCGAAGCGAAAUUUUCACCCAGCACCUUCCUUUUACAAAACAAUUAUUUUUAAUACUUACAAAACAGUAAUUUACUACUGUAAUGUAAGAAAAUUUUUUCGUAAAAGAAGGUGCUGGGUAGCCGAAAUGAAGUUUUUAAACAGGCUCUAAGGAGAGAAGUUAUAAAAUGUAAUGUUAACCAAAAUAGCUGGAAAGUUAUACCCCAGAGGGUAAUAGUCCCGUAGGUGAAAAUAUUACAACUUCUUUGUUUGUAUUCUUGAGUACUUCAAGACAUGAAUAGCUUGGGGGAAUCCGCCAGCACUAACUGGCAAGGCUAAAUAUCUUUUCAGAUCGAUAGUGAACUAGUACCGUGAGGGAAAGGUGAAAAGUAGCCCGGUGAGGGCAGUGAAAUAGACCUGAAACCAUAUGCUUACAAAGAGUCAGAGCGGUUGUAUCACAUUGCAUGUGAUGACAAUUAUCAAUUAACAACAAUCAAUUUCCAAUAAAUUUUCAAAUUAUAAAUUCUAAUUUUCAAACGAGAUAAAGUCGUUUAUUGAAAAUUGAUUUUUGAAAAUUUAUUGAAAAUUGGAAAUUGAAAAUUCAUCAUGCGUAGCGUGAUGCAACCGUCAUGGCGUUCCUAUUGAAGAAUGAGCCAACGAGUUUAUAUUAUACCUUUGUUUAAGGGGACUUCCCCGUAGGCGUAGCGAAAGCGAGUCUUAAUAGGGCGACGAUUAUUUUAAUAAUCAAGAGGUAUUGUAUAAGACCCGAAGCCAAGUGAGCUUACCAUGAGCAGGGUGAACCUCGCAGAAAUGCGAGGGGAGGCCCGAACCAGUUGGUCGUACGAUUCCAUUGGAUGACUUGUGGUAAGAAGUGAAAAGCUAAUCGAACUUGGUAAUAGCUGGUUCUCUCCGAAAUAACUUUAGGGUUAGCGUCGCGUGUUCCUUCCGGGGGUAGAGCACUGGAAGAGUUGAAUAGGAGGAAACUUCGUCAACUCUAUCAAACUCCGAAUACCGGAAAUUAAUAACGCUGGCAGUUAGACUAUGGGGGCGAAGCUCCAUUGGUCAAAAGGGAAACAGCCCAGAUCUCAAGUUAAGGUCCCUAAAUUUACACUAAGUGCGCUUAAGGAGGUGAAAUUUCUUAGACAAUGAGGAGGUCGGCUUAGAAGCAGCCACCCUUGAAAGAAAGCGUAACAGCUCACUCAUUCAGAGAUUUUGCGCCGCAGAUUAUCGGGGCUAAGUGUAAUACCGAAACUGAGGAUAUUGGUCGUACCUCACUGCGUUUGGUACGAAAUUAAUAAUUGUCAAUUACUAACUGACAAUAAAUUUCUAAUUUAAAAAUUAAAAAAUUUAAGAAUUGAAAAUUGAUUGUAAAUUAAAAAUUGUAAAUUAAAAAUUUCGCAACCGAGCAUAGCGAGGUGCGACUGGUGUGGUAGGAGAGUAUUCUACUCUGCGUUGAAGCGGAAGGGGUGACCCACCGUGGAGCGGGUAGAAGUAAGAAUGUUGGCACAAGUAACCGCAAUGCGAGUGAGAUUCUCGCACGCCGAAAGACUAAGGUUUCCUUGGCGAUGAUAAUCAGCCAAGGGUUAGUCGGUCCUAAGGCGAUGGCGAAAGCCGGAGUCGAUGGAUACACGGUUAAUAUUCCGUGACUUCCGUAUAAUUGUGAUGGAGGGACGAAGGGUAGUACAUUAUGCGCAUUAUUGGAUUUGCGUUCGUUCUAUAAGAGAGACUCUUAGGAAAAUCCGGGAGUAAGCUUUUUAAUAAGCACCUUUCAAGUAGCGCGAAAACCGGCGGAUUCGUCCAAAGGAAUAUAAUGGAGCACGCUUCCAAGAAAAGCUUCUAAGCUUAGGCAUCACAUUAUGCAAUUACAUUUAGAGGUAACUAGAAGUAACAAAAACAAGUGAAAUGCGAAGUUUUGGAGUUUGAAAAAACUGCAGAUGUAUAAAAAUACAUUGAGAAUUUUUUCAAACGAAAAACAAGUGAUUUGCCAUUUUUGUUGUCUUAUAGGAUGUGAUUUCAUAAUGUGGUGUCUAAAAAUUAUAAGGAAACCGUACCGUAAACCGACACAGGUAGUCAGGUCGAGAAGACCAAGGCGAAUGAGUGAGUGUUCCCCAAGGAACUCGGCAAACAAGCAGCCGUAACUUCGGGAUAAGGCUUCCCGUCACCUUCUAUUUCAUCUGAUAAAUUUAUUAUAUCUUGGUCUAGUUUAACUAGACAAAGUUAAAUAUUUAUUUAGGUGGCAUGGAAGGUGACGGGUGCAACGAAAGAUCUCUGGCAACUGUUUAUUUAAAACACAGCUCCCUGCGAACUUGUAAGAGGAUGUAUAGGGGGUGACGCCUGACCAAUGCUAGAAGGUUAAAUAUCGGUGGUGUAUGAAUUUUGGUUUGUAUGCUGGCUGAUAUAAGCCCUAGUGAAUGUCGGCCCUAACUAUAAGGGUCCUAAGGUAGCGAAAUUCCUUGUCUGGUAAGUUCAGACGUGCACGAAUGGCGUAAUGACUGGAGAACUGUCUCGGGGAACAGCUCGGUGAAAAUG